UUGAAACAUUUAUCUUUUUCUUCUUAUCUAGUUCCUCCAGAAUUCAGAAACUCAUAGUACUUUUAAUUUAUGACAACAUAGUUAUUUGCUUAAGUUGAAUAAGAAUCUGUUCUCCAGUAACAAGACACAAUUGGAAACACAGGCUAUACUGCCCAAGUUUUGACUGGAAUGUCACAUUUGAGAAGGAUGGGUGUAAUAUUAGAUAUGACCAGACAGCUUUAAGGAACUAAGAUUGACUUUAUAGAGCCAAUAAAGUCCCUUCAAAAAACAAACAAUAAAGCCAGUUGGUAUCUUGCUUUCAGGGUUCUUAAACUCACCAGGGGAGUAAGGAAGGUCAAUUCCUAGCAGGCCCAAGAACCUCAAGAUCUCUUGGAAACCUCUAGAAGACAGAAGAGAGGAAUUCACCCAAUUCUAAAGCAACCCUGAAAGGCAAGAACCAUAAUCAUCCGUAUUCACAGAGCAGACGCUGUUUUUUACAAAUUGAAGGUUUGUGGCAACCCAGCAUCAAGCAAGUCUACUGGCACCAUUUUUUCCAACAGCAUUUGCUCACUUGGUAUCUGUGUAACAUUUCGGUAUGUCACACAAUAUUUCAAACUUAUUCAUUAUUCUUGUAUUUGUUAUGGUGAUCUGUGGUCAGUGAUUAUGACUUGCUGAAAGCUCAGAUGAUA